CAGCAAACAUGACACGGGAAGCAUCAAUUGCUGCUGCCUUGUUAAGGUUUCCAAGCUUUUUGAGAGUACAGCUACACCAACUUAUUACAAGAACUAAUGGAAUCUUAGAUCGAGAAGUUGAGGAUUUUGAUAAAGAUGAAGCAAACGGAGAUGGAGAUUGGAGGUGAUAAUAAACAGUUUUUGAAGUUGCUAAUAAAUAUAUAUACGGACACUCUACAACAAUUCUGGGUAUUUACUAGAGAAAUUU
rnacentral:lncRNA from 1 species